UACAGAGGUGGCGAGCGUUGUUCGGAUUUAUUGGGUGUAAAGGGCAGGUAGGUGGUCGUGUAAGUCCGCUGUGAAAUCCCAGGGCUCAACCCUGGAACUGCAGUAGAAACUACACGACUUGAGUGUCGGAGAGGUGAGGGGAAUUCUCGGUGUAAGGGUGAAAUCUGUAGAUAUCGAGAGGAAUACCAGUGGCGAAGGCGCCUCACUGGCCGACAACUGACACUGAGCUGCGAAAGCAAGGGGAGCAAACAGG
rnacentral:rRNA from 1 species